GUUGGGCCAUUAAAGCUCACGGUUUGGGCCUUCUUCUUCUUCAGCCCGUGAAGCCAGCAAAGUUCAAAUCCAACAGCUCACUUGGCAAGCUCAAUUCCAGCAAUUAAAUUUCAAGCCCAGCGAAGCCAUCACCUUCGGCCCAAUUGCAAUUAGGCCCAGUGAAUUCAGCUCCAAAGCCCAGCAAAAUUAGAGGCCACGAGGACAGCCCAUUCAAGGCAUGUACUAUCAAGUGAAGCCCAGUCCAGUACAAGACAAAUCUCAUUUGGGCUGAGAUUUGUUGGGCCAAGGUCAAGGCUCGGUCCAAGCCCGUCGGUGACGUCGAAAGUUCGGAUUUCGGCCGUCGUCGCAUCGCCGUUUUGGUGUCCCGGUCCCCGCUUUUAAUCAAGACCCUGAUGAGGAGCCUGAGGAGAAAGAAACCGAAGAGGAGUACCUGGAGGAGAACCCCGAUGAUGAUCUGAGUAUGAAUCGGAUGAGGACUGAAAUCCCGUCAUCUUUUAGGAAUCUUGUCUAAAUGUGAAUAGUGUGAGACUAGAAUGUUAUGAAUAGUCUUGUGAAUAGACUUUGAGUUAUGCCAUGUAUAAAAGUUCGGUUGUGGAUUUCAAUAUGAAAAAUAUGGCCUUACUUUUCUA